UUAACAUCAUUGCUACAAAAAUGUACGGCUGUGCUUCCUUAGGGAAUCUUUGGGGCCUAUGGAAAAUUCCCACUGCUGUAGUACCCGGUGGUUGCUGAUCACCUGAGUCAGAAUCAGCUGGAAUCAAGGACACCCUACAAGUCACAGUGUCUCUACGAGAACCAGCGUCUGGUUGGUACACUCCUGUAGGUGCAAGCCUCUUGGCGAGUCAAUGGUGUCUUUGUGCAAAGAAAAAUGCGCUUCCUCUAACCUGUGCCAGGGCGCGUGCGGGCUGGAUGUCAGCCUCGGCGGCCUCUUCACCAGCAUACCUCAGGACAACGCCGUGCCUUCGCCUGGGAUACGUGUGGAAAACGCAGGCCCCAGGGACCCUUCCCACACCUACUGAGUGACAGUCUGUUCAAGUGAACUUGUUGGAAAAGCUCCAGAACAUUUGUUCUAGUGAGCGGAGACACUGGAGGAAGGAAAACUCUUUGAAAGCAUUCUAGUCAUCCUGCCGUGAAAUUCAGUUACCUCUGACUUUUGAAGAUGUUGCCAUUUAUUUCUCUGAACAAGAAUGGCAGAAUCUGGAGGCAUGGCAGAAGGAGCUUUACAAGCAUGUAAUGAGAACCAAUUAUGAGAUUCUUGUUUCUCUAGAUGAUGGACUUCCCAAACCAGAACUAAUAUCACGGAUUGAAAAGGGGAAAGAGUUCUUCAAGAACUGGGGAGAAUCACAGAAAUCAGGAAACAUAAUUUGCUCUUCAGCUGAUCUGCAUUUUGAUCCAGUUAUUGAGGGACAUCUGUUUUGGCGAAGUCAACAAGCUGUGAAUUCAGGAGAAGCUAAAUGCCGGUUCCAAGUAGAUCUCCUACAGGGCCAGUGCCCCUCUGAACUCUCACUAGGAGGAAGGGCAGAUGCUUCCUUCAGGCCUGACGGGAGGAUCGCUCUCGUGAAUCCACACAGACCUGUCGCAUGGGCUCCAAUUCCAGUAGUCCCCAGCUGCAGGGAACCUACCCGGAGAGAAGGAAUCCCAAGUCCCAGAACUCUGGCUCCCCCUGCCUUUCAGGAGGUCCCCUCCUGGGAGGGCACCCAGCACCCAAGCGCUGUUAGUGAGGAAAGCUUUUGGAAGAAGAAUCACUUAGAGAAGCACCAGAGCCACUUGAGUGACCAGCCGUGUAGGCCCUGGAAGAAAUUCAGCAAACAAGCCGAUCCACAGCAACAGCGCAGCAUCCCUCAGGGUCGGAGGGAUUUCCGGUGUCACGACUGCGGGCGGAGCUUCCACCGGAAGCGGUAUUUGCUCAGGCAUCUGGCUGUACCGGCGGGGACGAGCUCCCCGCAGGGCCCUGGAUGUAAACGGUGCGGCCCGCGCAAGCAGAGCCUUCUCGGCCACCGCCUCCGGCGCAGGGGGGAGAGGCCUUCCCAGUGCCCCAGGUGCGACCGGAACGCUCUCCCGAAGAACGGCCUGGCGGCUCCCCAGGGCCAGCCCAGCAGGGGGAGGCUGGUCUCCCGUGGCGAAGGCGACCUGGCCCUCCCGGGGAAGGCACGGCGGGCCAGCUUGCGCUCGGGAGGGAAGCCAGGCCCGUGGCCGGGGGCCGCGGAGACUGUCCAGCACCGUCCCGCCGGGGAGAGGCCGUUGUCUUGCCCCGAGGGUGGCGAACGCUUCGCUGCCGGGUCCCAGCUCGCCAGCCACAAACAGGUGCACGCGGGAGAGCGGCCCUUCUGGUGCCAGGAGUGCGGCGACAGCCUCCGCCCGGGCGGCUCGCUGGAGGUCCACCGGCGCGCGCACGGCGGCGGCAGACCCUUCUCCUGCGCCAAGUGCGGCAAGGGCUUCGCCAAGCGGUGUAAGCUCACGGAGCAUGUCCGAGUGCACAGCGGGGAGAGGCCCUUCGGGUGCGCCGAUUGCGGCCGGAGCUUCCGCCAGAGGGGACAGCUGCUGCGGCACCGGCGGCUGCACACGGACGAGAAGCCCUUCCAGUGCUCGGAGUGCGGGCUGAGCUUCCGCCUCCAGAGCAUGCUGAGAGCACACCGGCUCCGGCACGGCGGGGAGAGGCCCUUCUCCUGCGGCGAGUGCGGCAGGGGCUUCGCGCACCGCUGCAAGCUCCGGGAGCACCUGCGAGUGCACAGCGGGGAGAGGCCCUUCCGGUGCCCCGAGUGCGGCAAGAGCUUCCGCCUCAAGGGCAUCCUGAAGGCCCACCAGCGCACCCACAGCAAGGAGAGGCCCUUCUCGUGCGGGGAGUGCGGCAAGGGCUUCACCCGGCAGUCCAAGCUCGCCGAGCACUUCCGCGUGCACAGCGGCGAGAGGCCCUUCCGCUGCUCCAGCUGCGACCGGAGUUUCCGCCUCAAGGGGCAGCUGCUUAGUCACCAGCGCCUGCACACGGGCGAGAGACCCUUCCAGUGCCCCGAGUGUGGCAAGAGCUACCGCGUCAAGGCCGACAUGAAGGCCCACCAGCUGCUGCACGGCGGGCAGAUGCCCUUCUCUUGCGAGUGCGGCAAAGGCUUCACCAAGCAGUCCAAGCUCAUCGAACACGUCCGGACGCACACGGGGGAGAAGCCCUUCCAGUGCCCCACGUGCGACAAGAGUUUUCGCCUGAAGGCGCAGCUGCUCAGCCACCAAGGCCUGCACACAGGCGAGAGGCCCUUCCACUGUCCCGAGUGUGAUAAGAACUUCCGGGAGAAGGGACACAUGCUGAGGCACCAGCGCAUACACAGACCCGAGAGGCCGUUCGCCUGCGGCGACUGUGGCAAGGGCUUCAUCUACAAGUCCAAACUUGCCGAACACAUCCGCGUGCACGCCAAAUCCUGCAGUGCCCCCAGCGAGCCUGACGUCAAGAAGAGGCUCAGCCAGCUGUUCGCGAUGAUCGAGGCUGACUGGAGUUGAGGCCGGGAAGGGCGUCCAGAGCCUUCGGCAGGCUUGACGUUCCCUGGGAAUCCACAGCAGCCAUAGCGAAACCCUCCGGGAGACAGAUUUUAGGAACAGGGGCCCUUUUUUGACCAAGAAUGGAACCAAGUUAGGAGUAUGAGAAGCCACAAAGGAUUUUCUCGGCUAAAACAUCACCAGGAAGGGGCGCCUGGGUGGCCCAGUCACUUGAGCAUCCGACUCCUGAUUUCGGCUCAGGUCAUGAUCUCAGGAUUUCACAGAUGGUAAAAGAUCCAGAGGGUUCAAAAUAUUGUUAAAAACUAGAGGUGCCUUGGAGAAAGUCAAGAAGAAAGAAGAGAGGGGAAAACGUUUUCAAAAUACGAAAGAAGAUUACAAAGAAAGAGAACAGAAAAAAAAAAACACCAACUACUGAGGACAAAAUCACACAGGCCUAAGGAGAUUAUUAGCAUCUGGAAGAGACCAAAAGAGUAAUGAAAGUUAUUUUUUUUUAAUAGGGAAGAAAAGCAGAGAAUUAAUGGAAACCCUUUAUGAUUAUAAGAACAAAAUGAUUAGGGAUAAAACACAAACAGGUUUCAGACUGAAUGUAAUUCACUGCCUUACUCUUUACCAAGCAAGUUUGCGGGGGAGGUUUUCAUCAACUUAACAAGGGCAGUUUGGAGUGAUUAAAUAACUACAGAUCCAGAAAUUUUUAGGUAUAAUUGACAAAAUAAAGGACAGUUUGUUAUCAGAAAUUCUUUUUAACGUUAAAAAAAAUUUUUUUUAAUGUUUAUUUGUUUUUGAGAAA